GAUGAACGCUGGCGGCGUGCUUAACACAUGCAAGUCGAACGGAAAGGCCCAAUCUUGCUUGGGUACUCGAGUGUCGCACGCGUGAGUAACACGUGGGUGAUCCGCCCUGCACAUCGGGAUAUGACUUGGAAAAUGGGCUUCUUACCGCACAGGUGUACAUUUUGCGUGUUGUGGUGGAAAGUUUUUCGGUGUGGGAUGAGCUCGCGGCCUAUCAGCUUGUUGGUGGGGUAAUGGCCUACCAAGGCGUCGGCGGGUAGCCGGCCUGAGAGGGUGUACGGCCACAUUGGGACUGAGAUACGGCCCAGACUCCUACGGGAGGCAGCAGUGGGGAAUAUUGCACAAUGGGCGCAAGCCUGAUGCAGCGACGCCGCGUGGGGGAUGACGGCCUUCGGGUUGUAAACUCCUUUCGCUAGGGACGAAGCGUUAUGUGACGGUACCUGGAGAAGAAGCACCGGCUAACUACGUG
rnacentral:rRNA from 1 species